GCGAGUGUAGUUUAAUGGUAAAACCUCAGCCUUCCAAGCUGAUGACGCGGGUUCGAUUCCCGUCACCCGCUCCA
rnacentral:tRNA from 1 species